rnacentral:rRNA from 1 species
UAGCUAGUUGGCGAGGCAACGGCCCACCAAGGCGACGAUCGGUAGCCGGCCUGAGAGGGUGAUCGGCCACAUUGGGACUGAGAUACGGCCCAGACUCCUACGGGAGGCAGCAGUAGGGAAUAUUGCACAAUGGGGGAAACCCUGAUGCAGCAACGCCACGUGUGGGAAGAAGCAUUUCGGUGUGUAAACCACUGUCAUGAGGGAAUAAGGCCAUCUCCGGGCGGGAUUGAAUGUACCUUGAGAGGAAGCACCGGCAAACUUCGUGCCAGCAGCCGCGGUAAUACGAGGGGUGCAAGCGUUAUUCGGAAUUACUGGGCGUAAAGGGAGCGUAGGCGGAGAUUCAAGCGGAUUGUACAAUCCCGGGGCCCAACCCCGGCUCUGCAGUCCGAACUGAAUAUCUUGGAUAGUNNAGGGGCAGGCGGAAUUCCUGGUGUAGCGGUGGAAUGCGUAGAGAUCAGGAAGAACACCGAUGGCGAAGGCAGCCUGCUGGGGACUUAUCGACGCUGAGGCUCGAAAGUGCGGGUAGCAAACAGGAUUAGAUACCCUGGUAGUCCNNACCGUAAACAAU